UACGGAGGGUGCAAGCGUUAUCCGGAUUCACUGGGUUUAAAGGGCGCGUAGGCGGCCAGGUAAGUCCGUUGUGAAAUCUCUGAGCUUAACUCAGAAACUUCCAUGGAUACUAUUUGUCUUGAAUAUUGUGGAGGUAAGCGGAAUAUGUCAUGUAGCGGUGAAAUGCUUAGAUAUGACAUAGAACACCAAUUGCGAAGGCAGCUUACUACACAGUAAUUGACGCUGAGGCACGAAAGCGUGGGGAUCAAACAGG
rnacentral:rRNA from 1 species